AACCAUAGAAACCUGCGGAGUACCUGCGGAAGGAUCAUUAAAAAUAUAGCAAGCCGAGCUUUUGUUAGCGAGGUUUUGCGAUCAAAUUGUAUUUAAAACCCAACUCUUUGAAUCAAUAUAUAUUUUUUUAAUUAAUAAAAAUAAAGAUAACUUUCAGCAAUGGAUCU
rnacentral:misc_RNA from 1 species